rnacentral:rRNA from 1 species
UACGUAGGGUGCAAGCGUUGUCCGGAAUUAUUGGGCGUAAAGAGCUCGUAGGUGGCCUGUCGCGUCGGCUGUGAAAACUCGGGGCUCAACUCCGAGCUUGCAGUCGAUACGGGCAGGCUAGAGUUCGGCAGGGGAGACUGGAAUUCCUGGUGUAGCGGUGAAAUGCGCAGAUAUCAGGAGGAACACCGGUGGCGAAGGCGGGUUCUCUGG